rnacentral:rRNA from 1 species
UGGUGCCAGCAGCCGCGGUAAUUCCAGCUCCAAUAGCGUAUAUUAAAGUUGUUGCAGUUAAAAAGCUCGUAGUUGAAUUUCGGGGUUAGUAAGUUGGUCAUGCCUCCGGUAUGCACUGGCUUUACUGAUUCCUCCUUCUUGAUGAACUGUAAUGUCAUUAAUUUGGUGUUGCAGGGAAUCAGGACUGUUACUUUGAAAAAAUUAGAGUGUUUAAAGCAGGCAUACGCUUGAAUACAUUAGCAUGGAAUAAUGAAAUAGGACGUUUGAUCCUAUUUUGUUGGUUUCUAGGAUUGACGUAAUGAUUAAUAGGGAUAGUUGGGGGCAUCAGUAUUCAGUUGUCAGAGGUGAAAUUCUUGGAUUUAUUGAAGACUAACUACUGCGAAAGCAUUUGCCAAGGAUGUUUUCAUUAACCAAGAACGAAAGUUAGGGGAUCGAAGACGAUCAGAUACCGUCGUAGUCUUAACCAUAAACUAUGCCGACUAGGAU